CUCGGGACGCCGGCGAGUGGCGAACGGGUGAGUAACGCGUGGAUACCUGUCCUGUGGUGGGGAAUAACGUUUAGAAAUGAACGCUAAUACCGCAUAAGCCCCACGGGGGAAAGAUUUAUCGCCACAGGAGGGGUCUGCGUCGGAUUAGCUAGUUGGUGGGGUAAAGGCCUACCAAGGCGACGAUCCGUAGCUGGUCUGAGAGGAUGAUCAGCCACACUGGGACUGAGACACGGCCCAGACUCCUACGGGAGGCAGCAGUGGGGAAUAUUGCGCAAUGGGGGAAACCCUGACGCAGCAACGCCGCGUGGGUGAAGAAGGCCUUAGGGUUGUAAAGCCCUUUCAGUGGGAACGAUGAUGACGGUACCCACAGAAGAAGCUCCGGCUAACUCCGUGCCAGCAGCCGCGGUAAUACGGAGGGGGCUAGCGUUGU
rnacentral:rRNA from 1 species